rnacentral:rRNA from 1 species
AUGGAGCAUAUGUGGACGCCAUUGAUCUUGCUGCAGCUGCUCCUAGCGGCAGCUGCAACAGCAGCCACCACCGCGACGACUGCUGGGUGUCGGCCGAGCUGCGGCGGCGUGGACAUCCCCUACCCUUUCGGCAUCGGCGUCGGCUGCUUCCGCAAGGGCUUCGAGAUCGAGUGCAUCAACAACAGCCCUGUGCUCGCCGGUACGUCCCUCCGCGUGGUGAAGCUGACGUUGGAUCCAGACCAGUCGCAGGUGAUGCUCCCCAUGGGGUGGCAGUGCUAUAACGCCUCCGACCCAGGUGACACCAACAGCAACUGGGACUAUGGAGAGACGACCAUGAACAAGGACGGCGUGUACCGCAUCUCCAGCACCCACAACAUGCUCGUCGUCGUCGGCUGCAACACCUUGGGCUUCACGGCGAGCAAGAGGACCGAGGGCGGCACUGCUAACUACGCCUACUACACCGGGUGCAUGUCCUACUGCAACAACUCGGCUAGCGCGCAGGACGGCCUAUGUGAUGGCGUAGGGUGCUGCCGCGUCAACAUCCCGCCGGGGCUCACCGACAACUACUUCAACUUCCGGGAGUUCGACCACUCCAGCAUGAUGGACUACAGCCCGUGCGACUACGCCUUCCUCGCUGACAGGAACAACUACACAUUCCGCCGGUCCCACCUCAAGAUGGACACAAAACGGUCCUCGCCGGUGUGGCUGGACUGGGCCAUUCGCGGCAACAGCUCCAUCUCCGGUGACAUACCGUCGUGCAAGCAAGCAGCCAAGACCGACCAGUACGCCUGUGUCAGCGCUCAUAGCGACUGCGUCGACUCCAUCAACGGGCCUGGCUACAACUGCAAGUGCUCCAAUGGCUACGAGGGCGACGCCUACUUGCCCAAUGGAUGCACUAAUAUAGAUGAAUGUGCAGAUCCGGCCAAAUAUCCUUGCUACGGUGUAUGCACGGACACCCAAGGAUCGUACGACUGCAACUGUCGUCUAGGUUAUCGAAGCCAUGACCCAAGAACCGAACGAUGUACUGAAAAGUUCCCACUUGCCGCACAGAUUUCCAUAGGUGCAAUAAGUGGCAUUCUCGUCUUGGCACUUAUAAUAUUCGUUUAUGUUCUUCGCAAAGAGAGGCGGGAGGCCAGGGACUUUUACCGAAAGAAUGGUGGCCUUACAUUAAAGGAUGCUGCAAAUAUUAAGAUUUUCAAAAGGGGGGAGCUCAAAGCAAUUUUAAAGAGUCACAAUUUAAUUGGAAAAGGUGCCUUCGGUGAAGUUUACAAGGGUGAUAUUGAUGGAGCUCUAGUUGCAAUAAAGAAACCAAUUGGUGAUAAUGUGCAUGAGAACAAGCAAUUUCCAAAUGAAGUUAUUAUCCAGUCUCAAGUCAUGCAUAGGAAUAUUGUAAGGCUUAGAGGUUGUUGCCUUGAAGUGGAUACCCCCAUGCUAGUGUACGAAUUCAUCUCCAAUGGAAGCUUGGAAGACUUUCUUCACAAGGAUAAAAGCAAGCUUCUCAACUUGGACGUACGUCUAAGUAUUCUUCAAGAAUCAGCACAUGGUCUAUCUUAUAUGCACUCACAAACCCACACCAAAAUCUUGCAUGGUGAUGUUAAACCAGCAAACAUUCUCUUGGAUGAAAAGUUUACGCCGAAGAUCUCAGAUUUUGGCAUAUCAAGGUUGAUUGCAAAAGACAAGGAACAGACUGCCAACAUCAUAGGUGACAUGACUUAUAUGGAUCCAGUAUACCUAAAGACAGGCCGAUUGACCGACAGAAGUGAUGUCUAUAGUUUUGGGGUUGUCAUUUUAGAACUCAUUAGCAGGAAGAAGGCCACUCACUCUGACAAUAAUAGCUUAGUGGGCAGCUUCCAAGAGUGUCAUCAAAGAGGGGAGACAGCACUGAAGUUGUUUGAUCCAGAAAUUGCAACAACAGGCAAUUUCGAAAUUCUUGACAAGCUAGCAAAGAUUGCUAUGGAGUGUCUUCAUCUUGAUGUGGAUCAAAGACCAUCAAUGACAGAUGUUGCAGAGCGCCUUCUCAUACUGCAUAGGUCCCGUAAGCUGUAG